rnacentral:rRNA from 1 species
UACGGAAGGCAGCAGGGGGAAGUAUUGUCACAAUAGGGCGGCAAGACCUCGAUGCAGCCACUGCCGCCGUGUAUGAAGAAGGCCUUCCGGGUUGUAAAGUACUUUCUAGUCGUGAGGAAGGUGUUAAGGUUAAUAACCUUAGCAAUUGACGUUAGCGACAGAAGAAGCACCGGCUAACUCCGUGCCAGCAGCCGCGGUAAUACGGAGGGUGCGAGCGUUAAUCGGAAUUACUGGGCGUAAAGGGCACGCAGGCGGUUAAUUAAGUUGGAUGUGAAAUCCCCGGGCUUAACCUGGGAAUGGCAUUCAAGACUGGUUAGCUAGAGUCUUGUAGAGGGGGUAGAAUUCCAUGUGUAGCGGUGAAAUGCGUAGAGAUGUGGAGGAAUACCGGUGGCGAAGGCGGCCCCUGGACAAAGACUGACGCUCAUGUGCGAAAGCGUGGGGAGCAAACAGGGAUUAGAUA